rnacentral:lncRNA from 10 species
GCUAGAGGUCUUAGUCCCAGAGGGAGGAAUGCUGCCACCAAGAGACACAACAACGAUUCCAUUAAACUGGAAGUUAAGAUUGCCACCUGGACACUUCGUGCUCCUCCUACCUUCAAGUCAACAGGCUAAGAAAGGAGUUACAGUGUUGGCUGUGGUGAUUGACUUGGACUAUCAAGAUGAAAUCAGUCUACUACUGCACAACAGAGACAAAACCACAGUCAACAUGAAUUCCAAGUGGUAACACUUAGUGUCCUGGGAUGGAGUGCUGAGAGAAAUCCGGAGGAUUCAGAGAAGAUGACCAAAAAGGACUACUUCACAGGGCUCCCAUGUGCUCAGCUUGCAAUUGGAUUCAGCCACCAGAGAUCCCUGGCAAGAGAAUAAAGAAAAAAUAUGUGGGCCACUGGCUUAGGAAGACUGCGUUUUCAGGGGAAAUGACCCAUGGGUGAGCGCUGUGGCACAGACUUAAAAGACUAUGACACUUUCUUUUGGCCUCCAUCAUUUCUGAUAAGAAAUUCACUGUCUUUCAAAUUAUUUGCUCUCACAGUCUCCAGCCGCCAUGAGAAGACAUGCCUUGCUUCCCCUUCACCUUCUGCCAUGAUUGUAAGUUUUCUGAAACGCUCAAACCAUGCUUCCUUUUAAGCCUGCAGAACUGUGAGUAAAUUAAACCUUUUUACUUAUAAAUUGCCCAGUAUUGGGUAUUUACUUAUAGCAGUGUGAAAAUGGACUAAUACAGUCAGUUUACUUCAUUAUUUCUUUUUCUUUCCCAGCUUGUGGAUAAAUCAUGAUAGCUCUGCCACUGAUUUGCCAUGUGACUUUGAAAGUGUUACGUUUCUUCCUUCAGGAGCUCUUGUAGGGCAGACCUGGUGGUGACAAAAUC